AUUGAACGCUGGCGGAAUGCUUUACACAUGCAAGUCGAGCGGCAGCGCGGGGGCAACCCUGGCGGCGAGCGGCGAACGGGUGAGUAAUGCAUCGGAACGUACCCAGUCGUGGGGGGAUAACGUGGCGAAAGUCACGCUAAUACCGCAUACGUCCUGAGGGAGAAAGCAGGGGAUCGCAAGACCUUGCGCGAUUGGAGCGGCCGAUGUCUGAUUAGCUAGUUGGUGGGGUAAAGGCCUACCAAGGCGACGAUCAGUAGCUGGUCUGAGAGGACGAUCAGCCACACUGGGACUGAGACACGGCCCAGACUCCUACGGGAGGCAGCAGUGGGGAAUUUUGGACAAUGGGCGAAAGCCUGAUCCAGCCAUUCCGCGUGAGUGAAGAAGGCCUCGGGUUGGUUAAA
rnacentral:rRNA from 1 species